GAUGAACGCUGGCGGCGUGCCUAAUACAUGCAAGUCGAGCGAAUGGAUUGAGAGCUUGCUCUCAAGAAGUUAGCGGCGGACGGGUGAGUAACACGUGGGUAACCUGCCCAUAAGACUGGGAUAACUCCGGGAAACCGGGGCUAAUACCGGAUAACAUUUUGAACUGCAUGGUUCGAAAUUGAAAGGCGGCUUCGGCUGUCACUUAUGGAUGGACCCGCGUCGCAUUAGCUAGUUGGUGAGGUA
rnacentral:rRNA from 1 species